GCGAAAUAGGUUAAGAUACGCUUUUAAUGAUUUCUAUAUCUUGAUUUGUUCAAGUGGAGUAUAGCAGAAUACUCUUUAUGGAAAUCACCUAUGUGAGUGAGAAGGGGCCGCUUCUAAGAGAAUUAGGUAAACAUGAAUUCUCUAAAAAUCACUCAUGAACCAGGAGGUGUCCAAGGCCAAAAUGGACACAAACGUGAGAACCAACUGUGUUCGAAGAAAAACUGUGUGACUUCUAUUGUCUAGGUUUCCACAAACGGCUGACUGUUCAAAGCAACUUGCUACUGAUUGGCUAAGGAAU
rnacentral:lncRNA from 1 species